rnacentral:tRNA from 1 species
GGAGCCGUGGUGUAGCCUGGUUUAACACACAUGCCUGUCACGCAUGAGAUCGCGGGUUCGAAUCCCGUCGGCUCCGCCA